GACGAACGCUGGCGGCGUGCUUAACACAUGCAAGUCGAACGGAAAGGCCCUGCUUUUGUGGGGUGCUCGAGUGGCGAACGGGUGAGUAACACGUGAGUAACCUGCCCUUGACCUUGGGAUAACUUCAGGAAACUGGGGCUAAUACCGGAUAGGAGCUCCUGCUGCAUGGUGGGGGUUGGAAAGUUUCGGCGGUUGGGGAUGGACUCGCGGCUUAUCAGCUUGUUGGUGGGGUAGUGGCUUACCAAGGCUUUGACGGGUAGCCGGCCUGGGAGGGUGACCGGCGACAUUGGUACUGAGAUACGGCCCAGACUCCUACGGGAGGCAGCAGGGGGGAAUAUUGCACAAUGGGCGGAAGCCUGAGGCAGCAACGCCGCGUGCGGGAUGACGGCCUUCGGGCUGUAAACCGCUUUCGCCUGUGACGAAGCGUGAGUGACGGUAAUGGGUAAAGAAGCACCGGCUAACUACGUG
rnacentral:rRNA from 1 species